rnacentral:rRNA from 1 species
GACGAACGCUGGCGGCGUGCCUAACACAUGCAAGUCGAGCGAAUGAAGUUCCUUCGGGAACGGAUUUAGCGGCGGACGGGUGAGUAACACGUGGGCAACCUGCCUCAUAGAGGGGAAUAGCCUUCCGAAAGGGAGAUUAAUACCGCAUAAGAUUGUAGUACCGCAUGGUACAGCAAUUAAAGGAGCAAUCCGCUAUGAGAUGGGCCCGCGGCGCAUUAGCUAGUUGGUGAGGUAACGGCUCACCAAGGCGACGAUGCGUAGCCGACCUGAGAGGGUGAUCGGCCACAUUGGGACUGAGACACGGCCCAGACUCCUACGGGAGGCAGCAGUGGGGAAUAUUGCACAAUGGGGGAAACCCUGAUGCAGCAACGCCGCGUGAGUGAUGACGGCC